rnacentral:SRP_RNA from 1 species
GCCAGGCGUGGUGGUGCGUGCCUGUAGUCCCAGCUACUCGGGAGGCUGAGGUGGGAGGAUCGCUUGAGCCCAGGAGUUCUGGGCUGUAGUGCACUAUGCUGAUCGGGUGUCCGCACUAAGUUCGGCAUCAAUAUGGUGACCUCCCGGGAGCGGGGGACCACCAGGUUGUCUGGUGAGUGAACUGGCCCAGGUCGGAAACAGAGCAGGUCAAAACUCCCGUGCUGAUCAAUAGUGGGAUCACACCUGUGAAUAGCCACUGCACUCCAGCCUGGGCAACAUAGUGAGACCCAUCUCU